ACCCAUUUCUAUUAUUCUAUGUUUUGCCACAUGUUUUGUGGUUUUACAUGUGUUCUAAUACAUCUUGUUCCUCUGGCAGCUAGCUGGCAUCUGUUCCUGACUCCACCCUUCUUCUCCCUGUAUCUCUGCUUGGAUUUCCUGCCUGACUCUAUCCUGCCUUGCUAUAGGCCAAAACAGCUUCCUUAUUAACCAAUGGUAAUAAAACAUAUUCAUAGCACACAGAGGGGUUAUCCCAUAGCAGCUUAUUUUAAUUUGGAGCCAGCCUGGGCUAC